UACGUAGGGUCCGAGCGUUAAUCGGAAUUACUGGGCGUAAAGCGUGCGCAGGCGGUUUUGUAAGCCAGAUGUGAAAUCCCCGGGCUUAACCUGGGAACUGCAUUUGGGACUGCAAGGCUCGAGUACGGCAGAGGGAGGUGGAAUUCCACGUGUAGCAGUGAAAUGCGUAGAGAUGUGGAGGAAUACCGAUGGCGAAGGCAGCCUCCUGGGCCAACACUGACGCUCAUGCACGAAAGCGUGGGGAGCAAACAGG
rnacentral:rRNA from 1 species